UACGUAGGUGGCGAGCGUUAUCCGGAAUUACUGGGUGUAAAGGGUGCGUAGGCGGGCAGAUAAGUUGGAUGUGAAAUUCCCGAGCUUAACUUGGGAGCUGCAUUCAAAACUAUUUGUCUUGAGUGAAGUAGAGGCAAGCGGAAUUCCCAGUGUAGCGGUGAAAUGCGUAGAGAUUGGGAGGAACACCAGUGGCGAAGGCGGCUUGCUGGGCUUUUACUGACGCUGAGGCACGAAAGCAUGGGGAGCAAACAGG
rnacentral:rRNA from 1 species